CAAUCCUAGGACCCUGAGAUCAUGAUUGAGCUGAAAGCAGAGCUAUGGAAGCAACUAGGAGAGAAACCAGGAACCCAGGAUGAGACCGCAGCAGGGGAGGGAACUCACCAAACCUGGAGUUCCUCAAUAAGGGCCCAUCUGUCCCUUACCUGGAACCUCCCCUACAGAAGGCACUGUGCCAAUCAUGUGCCCUCUGUUCUCCAGACACUCUCCAGCAGCAGCAGAGAUCUAAUUGAUUCCGCAGAACACAUGACGAAACUUCGAUGCAGAGAAUUGGAUGGCUUAUCUGAGGACAUCUAGAGACGUCAGCUCACACAGGAGAACAGAAGACCCUGGUACCAAAUAACAAUGCAGAGGACGAAACUGAUUGUUACCUAACAAGACCUGUAGCCAGGGGAACUCGCAUGCUCAGAGAGGAUGAUGGGGUUCUCAUGGUUCAGUGCUCUGUCUGCUAUUUCCCUGUGGUUCUCUGCUUGCCGGAUGCCUGAUUCAGUUGUACUGUCUUAAAACGGGCAACGCUCGGAGGCAUGGCUGGGUCAGGAAGAAGGGGCUUGCCAUUAGCCCUGAUUAUUUAAGCAAACUCUAAUUCUUCUUUCCCAGCACCCCAACU